UCUUUCCAAUUCCUCCCAUUCC
rnacentral:miRNA from 1 species